AUGUUUCCAUUCAAGUUCAAGAGGAAGCAAUUUCCUGUAAGGCUUAGCUUUGCUAUGACGAUUAACAAGGCUCAAGGACAGACGAUUCCGAUCGUUGGCGUGUACCUACCUAAUCCGGUGUUCUCUCAUGGUCAACUCUAUGUCGCAUUGUCUCGAGCCACCGCGAAGAGAAACAUAAAGAUCCUCAUUGAGAAGGAGAAAGGGAAGGAGAAUGGCAAGAAGCAAAGCAGUAAAUCAAAGAAGCGAAAAAGACCUGCCUUGUCCUUACAGACCUCGAUGAAGAACAUCGUCUAUAAGGAAGUCCUUACAGGCUGA
rnacentral:rRNA from 1 species